GGGCAAGAUAGGCGAAGUACCCCUACCGCAAGCGGCAGAGCUACUUCGCCUUGCCCUUUAUUCGCACUACGUGCUCAACAGGGCUCUUGCUCUGCGAGGCA
rnacentral:ncRNA from 1 species